rnacentral:rRNA from 1 species
GACGAACCGUGCGAACGUUAUUCGGAAUCAUUGGGCUUAAAGGGCGCGUAGGCGGAGCGACGCGUCGGCGUUGAAAGCCCCCGGCUCAACCGGGGAACCGGCGCCGAAACGGCCGCGUCUCGAGGCGAGAAGAGGGACCUGGAACUUCCGGUGGAGCGGUGAAAUGCGUUGAGAUCGGACGGAACACCAGCGGCGAAAGCGAGGUCCUGGGCUCGUACUGACGCUGAGGCGCGAAAGCCAGGGGAGCGAGCGGG